UUUCGCGGUAUGGGAUGGGGUCGCGUCCUAUCAGCUUGACGGCGGGGUAACGGCCCACCGUGGCUUCGACGGGUAGCCGGCCUGAGAGGGCGACCGGCCACAUUGGGACUGAGAUACGGCCCAGACUCCUACGGGAGGCAGCAGUGGGGAAUAUUGCACAAUGGGCGCAAGCCUGAUGCAGCGACGCCGCGUGAGGGAUGGAGGCCUUCGGGUUGUAAACCUCUUUUAUCGGGGAGCAAGCGUGAGUGAGUUUACCCGUUGAAUAAGCACCGGCUAACUACGUGCCAGCAGCCGCGGUAAUACGUAGGGUGCAAGCGUUAUCCGGAAUUAUUGGGCGUAAAGGGCUCGUAGGCGGUUCGUCGCGUCCGGUGUGAAAGUCCAUCGCUUAACGGUGGAUCCGCGCCGGGUACGGGCGGGCUUG
rnacentral:rRNA from 1 species